UACGUAGGGGCUAGCGUUAUCCGGAGUUACUGGGCGUAAAGGGUGCGUAGGUGGUUUCUUAAGUCAGAGGUGAAAGGCUACGGCUCAACCGUAGUAAGCCUUUGAAACUGGGAAACUUGAGUGCAGGAGAGGAGAGUGGAAUUCCUAGUGUAGCGGUGAAAUGCGUAGAUAUUAGGAGGAACACCAGUUGCGAAGGCGGCUCUCUGGACUGUAACUGACACUGAGGCACGAAAGCGUGGGGAGCAAACAGGAUUAGAUACCCUGGUAGUCCCUCGAG
rnacentral:rRNA from 1 species